CUGCACGUAGCCUCCCGGGCUCGUCUGAGAUCAAUGUGAAGAAGAAGAAGCCCCAAUGCUCGUGCUAAAUUAAUCUCGCCGCUAGUGUUGCAGCUUAGCCCUUUGUACCUCUUUUUCCAUGGCUGAUCUGUGUCAAUUCAACGGCUACACUU
rnacentral:snoRNA from 1 species